rnacentral:RNase_P_RNA from 1 species
GAGGCAGGUUGGGCAAUCGCGGUAUUUUAAAUAUCGAGGAAGGUCCGGACUCCACAGAGCAGGGUAGCGGCUAACAGCCGUCCAGUGGUGUGGUGCGUAAGUAUUACAUCAUUGAGGAAUAGGGCCACAGAGACGAGACUGCGGCGUGGGUAGGCUGUAAAGCCUGCACUGGCACGGCCACUCCGUGCGGCGUAUUUGGGCAACCAAGUACAGCGCAGCAGGGUGAAACGCGGUAACCUCUGCCCGGAGCAACAUCAAAUAGGCAUACGUGUGGCUUAGGUCACGACGGGCGGCUCGCCCUAGUAUGCGGGUAGAUGGCUAGAGCUCUUCAGUAAUGACGAGCCCAGAGGAAUGGUUGCCCACCAGGUUCGCCUGGUGUACAAGAUCCGGCCUAUAGACCUGUCUCACAC